GACGAACGCUGGCGGCGUGCCUAAUACAUGCAAGUCGAACGCAGUGGGGACGGGUGAGUAACACGUGGGUAAACUCCCCUCAGCGGGGAUAACACCUGGAAACAGGUGCUCAACCGAUACUGAUGGAUGGACCAGCGGUGCAUUAGCUAGUUGGUGUGGUAACGGCUCACCAAGGCCACGAUGCAUAGGCGUGCUGAGAGGGUGAUCUGCCACACUGGGACGUAGACACGGCCCAGACUCCUACGGGAGGCAGGUGUAGCGAAUCUGCGACAAUGGACGAGAGUCUGACCGAGCAACGCCGCUCGAGUGAAGAAGGUUUUCGGGUCGUGUACCUCUGUUGUUGGUGACGCGGUAGCUAUCCAGAAAGCCACGGCUAACUACGUGCCAGCAGCCGCGGUAAUAC
rnacentral:rRNA from 1 species